rnacentral:rRNA from 1 species
CGUUCCCGGGCCUUGUACACACCGCCCGUCAAGUCAUGAAAGUCGGUAACACCCGAAGCCGGUGGCCUAACCCUUGUGGAAGGAGCCGUCGAAGGUGGGAUCGGUGAUUAGGACU